rnacentral:rRNA from 1 species
UCCGUAGGUGAACCCUGCGGAAGGGAUCCAUUA